AGAGUUUGAUCCUGGCUCAGGAUGAACGCUGGCGGCGUGCUUAACACAUGCAAGUCGAACGAACCUUCGGGUUAGUGGCGGACGGGUGAGUAACGCGUGAGAAUCUGCCCUCAGGAGGGGGAUAACGACUGGAAACGGUCGCUAAUACCCCAUAUGCCGCGAGGUGAAAUGAAAUUCGCCUGAGGAUGAGCUCGCGUCUGAUUAGCUAGUUGGUGGGGUAAAGGCCUACCAAGGCGACGAUCAGUAGCUGGUCUGAGAGGAUGAUCAGCCACACUGGGACUGAGACACGGCCCAGACUCCUACGGGAGGCAGCAGUGGGGAAUUUUCCGCAAUGGGCGAAAGCCUGACGGAGCAACGCCGCGUGAGGGAUGAAGGCCUCUGGGCUGUAAACCUCUUUUUUCAAGGAAGAAGAUCUGACGGUACUUGAAGAAUAAGCCACGGCUAAUUCCGUGCCAGCAGCCGCGGUAAUACGGGAGUGGCAAGCGUUAUCCGGAAUUAUUGGGCGUAAAGCGUCCGCAGGCGGCCUUGAAAGUCUGUCGUUAAAGCGUGGAGCUUAACUCCAUUUAAGCGAUGGAAACUACAAGGCUAGAGUGUGGUAGGGGCAGAGGGAAUUCCCGGUGUAGCGGUGAAAUGCGUAGAUAUCGGGAAGAACACCAGUGGCGAAGGCGCUCUGCUGGGCCAUAACUGACGCUCAUGGACAAAAGCCAGGGGAGCGAAAGGGAUUAGAUACCCCUGUAGUCCUGGCCGUAAACGAUGAACACUAGGUGUCGGGGGAAUCGACCCCCUCGGUGUCGUAGCCAACGCGUUAAGUGUUCCGCCUGGGGAGUACGCACGCAAGUGUGAAACUCAAAGGAAUUGACGG
rnacentral:rRNA from 1 species